GGCACUAUGGCGGAGUGGUUAACGCGAUGCCCUGCUAUACCCAAAUUGCAGAACUUCUCCCUUCAAAAGGGAGCUCGUAUAGGCAUUUCCUUCGGGAGCGCAGGUUCGAAUCCUGCUGGUGUCG
rfam:Emmonsia parva TAMH 139 supercont1.2828, whole genome shotgun sequence.